GACGAACCGUGCGAACGUUAUUCGGAAUCACUGGGCUUAAAGGGCGCGUAGGCGGCUCCGCAAGUCGGGGGGUGAAAUCUUUCGGCUUAACCGGAAAAGUGCCUCUGAUACUGCGGAGCUCGAGGGAGGUAGGGGCGGACGGAACUUCCGGUGGAGCGGUGAAAUGCGUAGAUAUCGCUUGGAACGCCGAAGGUGAAAACAGGUUGCUGGGGUUGUGCCGACGCUGAGACACGAAAGCCAGGGGAGCAAACGGG
rnacentral:rRNA from 1 species